rnacentral:rRNA from 1 species
AGAGUUUGAUCCUGGCUCAGGAUGAACGCUAGCGACAGGCUUAACACAUGCAAGUCGAGGGGCAUCAUGAGGUAGCAAUACCUUGAUGGCGGCCGGCGCACGGGUGAGUAACGCGUAUGCAACCUGCCCGAUACCGGGGUAUAGCCCAUGGAAACGUGGAUUAACACCCCAUAGUACUUUUAUCCUGCAUGGGAUGUGAGUUAAAUGUUCAAGGUAUCGGAUGGGCAUGCGUCCUAUUAGUUAGUUGGCGGGGUAACAGCCCACCAAGACGAUGAUAGGUAGGGGUUCUGAGAGGAAGGUCCCCCACAUUGGAACUGAGACACGGUCCAAACUCCUACGGGAGGCAGCA